UACGGAGGGUGCAAACGUUGCUCGGAAUCAUUGGGCGUAAAGCGCACGUAGGCGGCCUGAUAAGUCGGGUGUGAAAGCCCUGGGCUCAACCCAGGAAGUGCACUCGAAACUGUCAGGCUUGAAUAUGGAAGAGGGUCGCGGAAUUCCCGGUGUAGAGGUGAAAUUCGUAGAUAUCGGGAGGAACACCAGUGGCGAAAGCGGCUCACUGGACCAUUACUGACGCUGAGGCACGAAAGCUAGGGGAGCAAACAGG
rnacentral:rRNA from 1 species